rnacentral:lncRNA from 1 species
CAGUCAAUGACCCUCAAAAGAAUCACUGGAGGGGGUCAAACACAAAAUGCCAGCACCCCCAGAGGCUCUGGUUCCGUCAUUCUGGGUGGGGCUGACAUUUUGGGAUUUUUUUGUUUUUGCUUUUGUUUUUUUGAGAUGGAGUCUCGCUCUUUCGCCCAGGCUGGAGUGCCGUGGCCCAAUCUCGGGUGAUUGCAGCCUCUGCCUCCUAUGUUCAAGCGAUUCUCCUGCUUCAGCCUCCCGAGUAGCUGGGAUCACAGGUGCAUGCUGCCAAGCCCCGCUAAUUUUUGUUUUUUUUUUUUUUUUUUUUUUUUUUUAGUAGGGACGGGGUUUCACCACGUUGCCCAGGCUGGCCUCGAACCCCUGACCUCAAAUGAUCCACUCGUGUGGGCCUCCCAAAGUGCUGGAUUAUAGGCAUGAGCCACCGCGCCUGGCCUGAGAUCUUGUUUUGAGCUAGGAGUUGCUGAUGCUGCUGUCCUGGGACCACCCUUUGAAAAGCACUGCCCUAGGUCAAAGGCUUUGAUCUGCAGGAUUUCUGUGAAAAGACCAGAGGAUAGGAUUGACUAGAUUUAGCCAAAAACAAAACAAAAUAAAUAAAUAGAUAGAAACAAGAUGCCUGGGCUGGGCGCUGUGGCUCACGCCUAUAAUCCCAGCACUUUGGGAGGCCGAGGCGGGCAGAUCACAACGUCUGGAGAUCGAGACCAUCCUGGCUAAUACGGUGAAACCCCGUCUCUACUAAAAAUACAAAAAAUUAGCUGGGCGUGGUGGCAGGCGCCUGUAGUCCCAGCUACUCGGGAGUCUGAGGCAGGAGAAUGGCGUGAACCCGAGAGGCCGAGCUUGCAGUGAGCCAAGAUCACGCCACUGCACUCCAGCCUGGGCAACAGAGCAAAACUCCAUCUCAAAAAAAAAAAAAAAAGCCUGAUUAAAUUUGAAUUUCAGAAAAAUAACGUCAUUUAUUACUAUAAAUAUGCCCCGGGCAAUGUGUGG